AUGGCUUGCUACCCCUGCAACCCUCUCCCCCACCUUCCUCCGGGCACCACCAUCACCCCUGGCCCUCUCCGUGCUCGUCAUGGCUACGUUGUUCUGCGAGGAGAACUCCCCAUGGUGUGCAAUGAAUGGGCUAUCGCCACCUUGGUCCCGGAUGUAUCUGCAGAGGAGUUUCACGGCGCCAUUACUCUGAUCACCACCUUCCUCGAAGGUCGCGGAUGGCGCAUUAACUACUUAUCUCACUGUGGUAUGGGUACGACUCUCAUCCAAUUCACUACUGCCUGCUCUAGAGAUACGGUUGUCAGUCAUAGCCCAUUUCAGAUCGGUGACUCUGUUUUGAGGAUUACUAGGUAGGAUAGAGGUUUGAACUAUCGUAGCAUUACCUUUACUUGUGAUAUUUGGAUCUUCAUGAUGAACUAUCCACUUGAAUGCUGGGAUGUUGGGGUUGUCAGUCACACAGUUUCUCCCUAUGGUAGAUUUCUAAUCUGGAACAAAGAUCCUAGGGAUAAAACUAGAAUUAUCGUGAAGCUCAGAGUCAUUAAUGUUGACACUAUUCGUAUCAGUACUGUUGUGCUUCGUAAUCUUGAUGAUGUUGGCUAUGCGGAUUCCUGUACUUGCCCUACAUAUAUUCUGUCUAGUGAGUUGAUUGGCCAGCAAGGUGGUGAUGAGGAUCCACUCCCACCGGAUGGUGGUAAUCCACACCCACUGCCUCAUGUACAUGGAGGGUUUUGGCAUGAUGAAGUGCUGGGCAAUAUCCCCAUGGACCAAGUUGUUAUUAAUCUUCACAAUGAAAACCUAGGAGCACCAUAUGAGGAUGUACAUGCUGUCAACAAUAACAACUAUGAUAAUCAUGAGGCAGAGUCUGAUGAGCAAACUGAGCAGGUACAUGUUGGUGAUGAUACAAUUACUGUUCCUAUGGCCAAUGUGGUUUUGAACAAUUCAGCUGGCCUGAAUGAGGUUGCUAUGGAGUAG
rnacentral:rRNA from 1 species